rnacentral:rRNA from 1 species
UACAUUGGACAAAGUCGGAGCGGACAGAUGGGAGCUUGCUCCCUGAUGUUAGCGGCGGACGGGUGAGUAACACGUGGGUAACCUGCCUGUAAGACUGGGAUAACUCCGGGAAACCGGGGCUAAUACCGGAUGGUUGUUUGAACCGCAUGGUUCAAACAUAAAAGGUGGCUUCGGCUACCACUUACAGAUGGACCCGCGGCGCAUUAGCUAGUUGGUGAGGUAACGGCUCACCAAGGCAACGAUGCGUAGCCGACCUGAGAGGGUGAUCGGCCACACUGGGACUGAGACACGGCCCAGACUCCUACGGGAGGCAGCAGUAGGGAAUCUUCCGCAAUGGACGAAAGUCUGACGGAGCAACGCCGCGUGAGUGAUGAAGGUUUUCGGAUCGUAAAGCUCUGUUGUUAGGGAAGAACAAGUACCGUUCGAAUAGGGCGGUACCUUGACGGUACCUAACCAGAAAGCCACGGCUAACUACGUGCCAGCAGCCGCGGUAAUACGUAGGUGGCAAGCGUUGUCCGGAAUUAUUGGGCGUAAAGGGCUCGCAGGCGGUUUCUUAAGUCUGAUGUGAAAGCCCCCGGCUCAACCGGGGAGGGUCAUUGGAAACUGGGGAACUUGAGUGCAGAAGAGGAGAGUGGAAUUCCACGUGUAGCGGUGAAAUGCGUAGAGAUGUGGAGGAACACCAGUGGCGAAGGCGACUCUCUGGUCUGUAACUGACGCUGAGGAGCGAAAGCGUGGGGAGCGAACAGGAUUAGAUACCCUGGUAGUCCACGCCGUAAACGAUGAGUGCUAAGUGUUAGGGGGUUUCCGCCCCUUAGUGCUGCAGCUAACGCAUUAAGCACUCCGCCUGGGGAGUACGGUCGCAAGACUGAAACUCAAAGGAAUUUGACGGGGGCCCGCCACAAGCGGUGGAGCAUGUGGUUUAAUUCAAAGCAACGCGAAGAACCUUACCACGUCUUGACAUCCUCUGACAAUCCUAGAGAUUAGGACGUCCCCUUCGGGGGCAGAGUGACAGGUGGUGCAUGGUUGUCGUCAGCUCGUGUCGUGAGAUGUUGGGUUAAGUCCCGCAACGAGCGCAACCCUUGAUCUUAGUUGCCAGCAUUCAGUUGGGCACUCUAAGGUGACUGCCGGUGACAAACCGGAGGAAGGUGGGGAUGACGUCAAAUCAUCAUGCCCCUUAUGACCUGGGCUACACACGUGCUACAAUGGACAGAACAAAGGGCAGCGAAACCGCGAGGUUAAGCCAAUCCCACAAAUCUGUUCUCAGUUCGGAUCGCAGUCUGCAACUCGACUGCGUGAAGCUGGAAUCGCUAGUAAUCGCGGAUCAGCAUGCCGCGUAAUUGACCCUUUC